AUCAAGAUAACUGAAAACUUCAGGCUUUUGUAAUCAGAGUUUGCCCGUUGUUUGUCUGUAAACUUUUCGCUUAAGAAACACCAAUAGGUCGUGGUGGCUCAGUAGCUGGUGUGUGUGUUUAUGAUCGUAUCCCGGUUCGUUUGGCUGACGGAGGGGUCAUAUUUCUACGUCCCACAACCUCCAAGAAAUGUCUAUGGUUGUGUGGAUGAGAGAGGGGAAGUGAUUGGCAGAGGGAAGACUCGGUAUGACUUAGACAGCUGUUUCCGGUGUACCUGUAAACGUGGAUAUUUAGAUUGCUGUGGAAUUGGUUACAAUGUCGGACCAUUGCGGGUGGAGUGAUGCACACUGAGGAAACCUCCGCGUUGUGAAGAUACGCUUGUGAGCAAUGUGGACGGCAUUUCAGAAUGCGCGAAUUGGACACAGAACUAAUGCAGAUUCCGAUAGACACUGACUCAUAAUGAAUAUUCAUUAUAGAAUAAAGACAUGUUAAUCAGAUCUCCUGAAUGUUUGUCAAUAUGCGAUCUCAAUAAAGCAUAUUCACGAC